CGAGUCUUAACUGGGCGUUAAGUUGCAGGGUAUAGACCCGAAACCCGGUGAUCUAGCCAUGGGCAGGUUGAAGGUUGGGUAACACUAACUGGAGGACCGAACCGACUAAUGUUGAAAAAUUAGCGGAUGACCUGUGGCUGGGGGUGAAAGGCCAAUCAAACCGGGAGAUAGCUGGUUCUCCCCGAAAGCUAUUUAGGUAGCGCCUCGUGAACUCAUCUUCGGGGGUAGAGCACUGUUUCGGCUAGGGGGCCAUCCCGGCUUACCAACCCGAUGCAAACUACGAAUACCGAAGAAUGUUAUCACGGGAGACACACGGCGGGUGCUAACGUCCGUCGUGAAGAGGGAAACAACCCAGACCGCCAGCUAAGGUCCCAAAGUCAUGGUUAAGUGGGAAACGAUGUGGGAAGGCACAGACAGCCAGGAUGUUGGCUUAGAAGCAGCCAUCAUUUAAAGAAAGCGUAAUAGCUCACUGGUCGAGUCGGCCUGCGCGGAAGAUGUAACGGGGCUAAACCAUGCACCGAAGCUGCGGCAGCGACGCUUAUGCGUUGUUGGGUAGGGGAGCGUUCUGUAAGCCGUUGAAGGUGGCCUGUGAGGGUUGCUGGAGGUAUCAGAAGUGCGAAUGCUGACAUAAGUAACGAUAAAGCGGGUGAAAAGCCCGCUCGCCGGAAGACCAAGGGUUCCUGUCCAACGUUAAUCGGGGCAGGGUGAGUCGACCCCUAAGGCGAGGCCGAAAGGCGUAGUCGAUGGGAAACAGGUUAAUAUUCCUGUACUUGGUGUUACUGCGAAGGGGGGACGGAGAAGGCUAUGUUAGCCGGGCGACGGUUGUCCCGGUUUAAGCAUGUAGGCGGAGGU
rnacentral:rRNA from 1 species